AAAUGUAUGUACUGUAACAUCCUUAAAUCUUGUAAUGUUUUUGUAUUUUUUUAAAUGGUUUUAUUAACUGUAUUUUUUACAGUGAAUGAAAUGAUGCUGUUUUGUUUUUCACAGUAAAGCAAACAAUUGCCUAGAUGAAGCCUUUGCCAGACAUGAUCCCAUCGCCUGUCGCUCCACCCAAGAAGCUAAGACAUUCAAAUGAGGUGAUGCUUCACAUCCUCCAGGUAAGAUGUUUGUGCGUACACGAUCUUCAAUCAAGACCUUUCUUCAGUCUUGUGGUGAUCGUCUGUGACACCAACUGUGUAACUACCAUUGGAACCAUUUCUGUGUUGAUCUUCUCAAAGGAGGACAUACCUGAUAGCGAUGUAUGUCAGUUACUCCAUAUUUCACCUUACAUAUCCCAAGAGUAGCAGGACACUCCUAUUUGUGCUGCAGACAGAAGUGCUUCUAGACUCUAUCCAUGCCAGAGACAUGACUUCCUCUAACAAAAAAGUCAUGGCUAUUACAACAUGAAUGGUAAUAUUAUAAAUGACCACAGAGCUGUUUUAAAAUAUUGUUGGGAUUUUUAUCAGAAGCUUUAUAGAUGUAAAUUUUUUCAAGAAGCUGCAGACGCCUUUUUGGAUUCCCUGACGGUCAGAACCAUCUCCAAAAACUGAGAUGUAACAGUGUGAGAACCCAUUUACUUUUGAGGAGGUGAUGUGUGCCAUUAGUCAACUAAAAGAUUACAAAUCACCAGGGCCAGACGGGUUGAUCCCUGAAUUUUAUAAAUCCUUUGCUGAGGAACUUGCUCAUUUUUUUAGUUAAAGUAUUUUUGGAAAGUAUGGAUAAAGAAUAGCUUCCUACAACUUUAACUCAAGGUUUGACAACUUUAAUUACAAAAUCCGGAAAAGACAUUGUAAUUUUGGAUAAUUAGCGAGCAAUAUCAUUAUUGAACAAUGGUUAUAAAAUCUUUGCAACAAUUUAUCCAAACUUAAAUCUACUCUCAACUAAAAAAACAAGGCUUUAUUCCUCUGAGACAUAUAAUUAACAAUAUCAGGCUAAUUUGAGAUAUUCUUGACUAUCCAGAACUUGAGAAUGAUGAAAGUUUUAUUUUAUUCUUAGGUUUUUAUAAAGCUUUUGAGACUGUUAAACGUCAAUUCAUUCUAGAUUCCCUUAAAAAAUAAUUUUUGGUGCUUAUUUUUGUUCAGCAAUUGUCAGACUUUCUAAAAACAGUAACAGUUCUAUUAAGUUGGCAGGUGGCACCUCUCCCCGAUUUGAUCUAACAAGAAGAAUAAAGCAGGGUUGUCCUGUCUCUCCCUGUCUUUUCCUUUUGGUUGCCCAACUGUUAAGUGUUCAUAUUAAAUCAAGUUUAGCAGAGGGCAUCGUUCUGGUUGAUAAAGAUUGAAUUCUCACUCAACUGGCAGACCACGCAACUUUGUUUUUAAAAAAUGAGAACCCUGUUGCUCUUGAUAUUAUUAGAAAGUUCUCAGAAGCAUCUGGCUUGUGCUUGAACAUAAAUAAAUGUGAACUUAUGGGCAUCAAAGAUUGUGUUGUUUCUACAUGAUAUAAUAUUCCUGUUGGAACAGAAUUGCAAUAUUUAGGUAUCAUUCAGACUAAAGAGCAACGUGCAAGGUUCUCUCUUAACUUUAAUACAAUCAUCAAAAAAACACAAAUGAAGCUGAAUCAGUGGCUUUUGAGGGAUUUAUCAAUAAGAGGAUAGAUUUUACACAGUAAAGCAGAGGGCAUUUCUAGGUUAACAUAUGCAGUUUUAG
rnacentral:lncRNA from 1 species